rnacentral:rRNA from 1 species
GACGAACGCUGGCGGCGUGCUUAACACAUGCAAGUCGAACGGUGAAGCUCCAGCUUGCUGGAGUGGAUCAGUGGCGAACGGGUGAGUAACACGUGAGCAACCUGCCCCUGACUCUGGAAUAAGCGCUGGAAACGGCGUCUAAUACUGGAUACGAGAAGGGUCCGCAUGGGCACUUUCUGGAAAGUUUUUCGGUUGGGGAUGGGCUCGCGGCCUAUCAGCUUGUUGGUGAGGUAAUGGCUCACCAAGGCGACGACGGGUAGCCGGCCUGAGAGGGCGACCGGCCACACUGGGACUGAGACACGGCCCAGACUCCUACGGGGGCAGCAGUGGGGAAUAUUGCACAAUGGGCGAAAGCCUGAUGCAGCGACGCCGCGUGAGGGAUGACGGCCUUCGGGUUGUAAACCUCUUUCAGCAGGGAAGAAGCGAAAGUGACGGUACCUGCAGAAGAAGCACCGGCUAACUACGUG